AGCCAGUGAUGACUAAUAUUAUUUUCUGACACCUACUAUGACAGCUGAAUUUCAGCUUUUGAUUCUAAGAAUUUGAACUGAGGCUU